rnacentral:rRNA from 1 species
UACGUAGGGUGCAAGCGUUUAAUCGGAAUACUGGGCGUAAAGCGUGCGCAGGCGGUUUUGUAAGUCUGUCGUGAAAUCCCCGGGCUCAACCUGGGAAUUGCGAUGGAGACUGCAAGGCUAGAAUCUGGCAGAGGGGGGUAGAAUUCCACGUGUAGCAGUGAAAUGCGUAGAGAUGUGGAGGAACACCGAUGGCGAAGGCAGCCCCCUGGGUCAAGAUUGACGCUCAUGCACGAAAGCGUGGGGAGCAAACAGGAUUAGAACGUACCUGAG